AAGUGCGAUCAUACCAACACUAAUGCACCGGAUCCCAUCAGAACUCCGCAGCUAAGCGUGCUUGGGCGAGAGUAGUACUAGGAUGGUUGACCUCCUGGGAAGUCCUCGUGUAGCACCUC
rnacentral:rRNA from 2 species